AAACUUGUAUUUCUUUUGGAGAGAGCGCGCGGGUUCGACGGGUUCGACGCUCUCCUCGAGAGAGAGAGAGCGUCAACUGGCACGUGCACGAGAGCCCAUCGAGGCUGGCCGCAUCCCCUCGUAUCGAGCGCGGGAGA